CUCCAUCCCCAAAUCCCCAUGGAAACCUAACCCCCAAAUCCCAGAUCGGAGCCAGCCUGAGCCACCAUAUCUCACCCUCUGCUGCCUGCGCACCCACUCACCCAGCCACGGAGCCAGCCUGAGCCACCCACGUCCUUGAGUCUCGAAGCCUUCCUCCAAAUCCCACCGCCGAAGAGAACAGAUCCCCCACCGCCGGUGCACCACGAAGACGAAGACCCAGCUCAACACAGC
rnacentral:lncRNA from 1 species